GGCACGGUAGCUUAAUUGGUGGAGCAGGAACUUCAUACGUUUCAGGUUAAAGGUUCGAAUCCUUUCCGUGCUA
rnacentral:tRNA from 1 species